rnacentral:rRNA from 1 species
CUUGGCACUGAACAUUGACCCUACAUGUGUAGGAUAGGUGGGAGGCUUUGAAGCACGUACGCCAGUAUGUGUGGAGCCGUCCUUGAAAUACCACCCUUGUAGUGUUGAUGUUCUAACGUCGACCCCUUAUCGGGGUUACGGACAGUGCCUGGUGGGUAGUUUGACUGGGGCGGUCUCCUCCCAAAGAGUAACGGAGGAGCACGAAGGUGGGCUAAUCACGGUUGGACAUCG